AUACGUAGGGUGCAAGCGUUAAUCGGAAUUACUGGGCGUAAAGCGUGCGCAGGCGGUUUUGUAAGACAGUGGUGAAAUCCCCGGGCUCAACCUGGGAACUGCCAUUGUGACUGCAAGGCUGGAGUGCGGCAGAGGGGGAUGGAAUUCCGCGUGUAGCAGUGAAAUGCGUAGAUAUGCGGAGGAACACCGAUGGCGAAGGCAAUCCCCUGGGCCUGCACUGACGCUCAUGCACGAAAGCGUGGGGAGCAAACAGGAUUAGAUACCCUGGUAGUCCACGCCCUAAACGAUGUCAACUGGUUGUUGGGGAUUUAUUUUCUCAGUAACGAAGCUAACGCGUGAAGUUGACCGCCUGGGGAGUACGGCCGCAAGGUUAAAACUUAAAUGAAUUGACGGGG
rnacentral:rRNA from 1 species